rnacentral:rRNA from 1 species
AACGAACGCUGGCGGCAUGCCUAACACAUGCAAGUCGAACGAGACCUUCGGGUCUAGUGGCGCACGGGUGCGUAACGCGUGGGAACCUGCCCUUAGGUUCGGAAUAACUCACCGAAAGGGGUGCUAAUACCGGAUAAUGUCUUCGGACCAAAGAUUUAUCGCCUUUGGAUGGGCCCGCGUUGGAUUAGCUAGUUGGUAGGGUAAAAGCCUACCAAGGCGACGAUCCAUAGCUGGUCUGGGAGGAUGAUCAGCCACACUGGGACUGAGACACGGCCCAGACUCCUACGGGAGGCAGCAGUGGGGAAUAUUGGACGAUGGGCGAAAGCCUGAUCCAGCCAUGCCGCGUGAGUGAGGAAGGCCUUAGGGUUGUAAAGCUCUUUUACCCGGGAUGAUAAUGACAGUACCGGGAGAAUAAGCUCCGGCUAACUCCGUG